ACCCAAAAUAACAGAAUUCUAGGAUAAAAAUCAUUAUUCUCUGACUCCACUAUAUAUAAACAUCCAUCACAUGCUUUUCCUUCAUUCCUGCGCCACGUCAUCAUUCACAUUUACCUUGCUUUUCUUUCUUUGAUAUACUCUCCAUACUCUUGGUUUGGGCCCUAUUUCAAGGCCCACCUCAUUCUGAUCCACAUUCCUAUCAAUGCCUUCCUCCUUAAAUAAAGCCUUGUCCUCAAGGCUAAAAGUAGGAAACUGUCCUUGCAGAAAUUCAUUGUCCUCCCAUGUGACAUCAUCCAUAGAUUUGUCCUUCCAUUUAAUCAAGCUUUGUUUUACUGUCACCCCUUCCUUGACUGUCAGCCGAGACCCUACCACUGCCUCAGGGUACACAGAUAUGUCAUCACUUACCUCCAUAUCUUUUGGUAAUUCCCCUUGUACUUGGUAGUCUCCCACAGCCUUCUUUAACAAGGACACAUGAAAAACUGAAUGUAUUUUAGACUGUGCUGGCAAUUGUAAUUGGUAAGCAACAAGCCCCACUUUAGCUAUAAUUUUAAAAGGACCAUAAAAACGUGCAGCAAGCUUUUGAUUAAUCCUUCGUACCACUGAUUGCUGCCUGUGAGGCCUUAGUUUAAGAAACACCCAUUCUCCAACUUCAAAGGAUAAG
rnacentral:lncRNA from 1 species